AAAAACGUGUAUUGUAACUUAAAUAUUAUGAAUUUAUUAUAUGUUAAAAAAAUAUAUGUAUCUUGCACUUGUAUUGUAAAAAUGCAAAAUGUAUUGUCAAUAUGACUACAAAUUGUGGAGUUUGUUAAGAUAACUUAUUAUUUCAUGUUUGUUUCUUAAAAAAUAAAUUCAGAUUUUCAAGUCAUCUGAAAUCACCAGAGUAAUUUAACCCACGUAAGCGCCUGAAGGUCUUUUUUCAACGUGCGGUAUGUCAACGCAGGGGGCGUGUCUGUAGGAUACAGAGCGUCCCUGAAGUCCAUCAUUUCAUUCUGGUGAGAGUUCAAAUCUGGCGGGCAUUUUAUCUUUUGAGAUUUUAUCCUUUAGGUUGUGAUCUGAUGGUGAUGGAGUUGUUGGUGCAUCAAGUGGAAAUAUGUUCCUGAAGGCAAGACGCAGAAUGUGCAGGAAGAGGAGAGGGCACUGCAUUCAAGCACUUAGCAGCUUCCUGUCUCUGCUUGAU